GGCUCAGAACGAACGCUGGCGGCGUGCCUAACACAUGCAAGUCGAGCGAGAAAGUGGAGCAAUCCAUGAGUACAGCGGCGCACGGGUGAGUAACACGUGACUAACCUACCCUCGAGUGGGGAAUAACUUCGGGAAACCGAGGCUAAUACCGCAUAACACCUACGGGUCAAAGGAGUAAUCCGCUUGAGGAGGGGGUCGCGGCCGAUUAGUUAGUUGGCAGGGUAAUGGCCUACCAAGACGAUGAUCGGUAUCCGGCCUGAGAGGGCGCACGGACACACUGGAACUGAAACACGGUCCAGAAUCCUACGGGAGGCAGCAGUGGG
rnacentral:rRNA from 1 species